GUUAAUAUUCGGAGCGCUGGAAUUGAAAUUAUUCAACGUUCUAGUGAGGUUAUUCGUAGUUGCUUUGAAUUUGAGCUCAUCAUAUUCGGCAGUAUUUUUGAUUACUCGUUUUGAAUGGAACUUGCGGCGAAAUAUAGGAGGAUGGAGGCUCCAGUCUUCAUACAGCCAUCCUGACUUGAGUUUUCCAUGGUUUCUCAAAAUAAAUUCAGGAAAUUUAGGAUGAUUCCUACUAUAUGGUCACAGCCAACUACCUUUCCAUCCUUGUCAUACUAUACCCUAACUGUUUUUGAAGAAUGCCCGUGUGAAGAAAUAGCACACUAGUGGUGUUAAAAACUGAACUGUGCCAUGGAGUCAUCACCAAACUGAGAAAGAUUGGACGUGAUGAAAGCUCAAGAAGUUGUAAGAUUGUUG